AGCGAGGAAAAUUUGGGAAGGACAAUUUUCCUCCGUGAAAAAUAAUAAUCGCAUCAGAUAAAACGAAACAAUAUUCAUCUGCGAGCGGACAAGAUGGCUCGGAAUGCAAAAACCCUCACCGAAAACGAUCUAAUCGACACCUUCCUUCCGCUAUCCGCUGCCGUUAAAUCUCCACCGGUAUACAAUCACGCUGCUAACAAUGCUGGAGGUUGUCUUCUGUCCUCAACCCUGCAUCUGUGACAUCACCAUGUACCUGUUACUGUAGCAGGUUUACUCAAAGCAAGAAUAACUCCAAGACGCAAUAACGUAAACAUCAACAA